rnacentral:rRNA from 1 species
GACGAACGCUGGCGGCGUGCUUAACACAUGCAAGUCGAACGGAAAGGCCAUGCUUUUGUGUGUUUCUCGAUUGGCGAACGGGUGAGUAACACGUGAGUAUCCUGCCCUUGACUUUGGGAUAACUUCAGGAAACUGGGGCUAUUACCGGAUAGGAGCUCCUGCUGCAUGUUGGGGGUUGGUAAGUUUCGGCGGUGGGGGAUGGACUCGCGGCUUAUCAGCUUGUUGGUGAGGUAGUGGCUGACGAAGGGUUAGACGGGUAGCCGGCCUGAGAGCGUGACCGGCGACAUUGGGCCUGAGAUACGGCGCAGUAGCGAAUGGGAGGCAGUAGUGGAGAGUCUUGCACAACGAGCGGACGCCUGAUGCAGCAGCGCCGCGUGCGGAAAGCCGGCUUUCGGGGUGUAAACCGCUUUGGACUGUGACGAAGCCAGAGUGACGGUAAUGAGUAAAGAAGCAACGGCUAACUACGUG